GGUACAGCUAGACUUCCUCUUCAGUGGUCUCAUGAGAGCCCCCCAACUUCCUGCAAUCAGAGUUUCAACAAGCACAGGCUUUCCAUUCUGGUUACAGGGCUGCUUCCAGAAUACUUCAUGGGCUCUCAGGCUCUUGACCAGGGGCUGGCAACGUUAUUCUCUCAUUGCCUUGUUGUGAACGAGCAAGGAGUAGAGAUGAGAAGAACGGGGAAGGUCAAGUUGGAGGAGGAGCUGGCAAGCUGAGUUCAUCGCUCUUCCUGAGCAGCAUGGGAGAAAUGGGGACUAGAGAUGGCCUGCCCCAGCCCUGGAGUUGGCCUGUGGUUUACCUG